GAUGAACGCUGGCGGCGUGCUUAACACAUGCAAGUCGAACGAGAAGUGAAGACGGAAACCUUCGGGCGGAAGGCUUUAUUUCGAGUGGCGGACGGGUGAGUAACGCGUGGGUAACCUGCCUCAUACAGGGGGAUAACAGUUGGAAACGACUGUUAAUACCGCAUAAGACCACAGCACCGCAUGGUGCGGGGGUAAAAACUCCGGUGGUAUGAGAUGGACCCGCGUUCGAUUAGACAGUUGGCGGGGUAACGGCCCACCAAAGCGACGAUCGAUAGCCGAUCUGAGAGGAUGACCGGCGACAUUGGGACUGAGACACGGCCCAAACUCCUACGGGAGGCAGCAGUGGGGGAUAUUGCACAAUGGGGGAAACCCUGAUGCAGCGACGCCGCGUGAGUGAAGAAGUAUUUCGGUAUGUAAAGCUCUAUCAGCAGGGAAGAAAAUGACGGUACCUGAGUAAGAAGCCCCGGCUAACUACGUG
rnacentral:rRNA from 1 species